GGGGCUGUAGCUCAGUGGUAGAGACGCCCGCCUUGUACAUGUGAGGCACUGGGUUCAGUCCUCAGCACCA
rnacentral:tRNA from 1 species